rnacentral:rRNA from 1 species
AUUGAACGCUGGCGGCAUGCUUUACACAUGCCAGUCGAACGGCAGCGCGGGCUUCGGCCUGGCGGCGAGUGGCGAACGGGUGAGUAAUACAUCUGAACGUGCCCAGUUGUGGGGGAUAGCUCGGCGAAAGCCGGAUUAAUACCGCAUACGACCUGAGGGUGAAAGCGGGGGAUCUUCGGACCUCGCGCUAGUGGGGCGGCCGAUGGCAGAUUAGCUAGUUGGUGGGGUAAAGGCCUACCAAGGCGACGAUCUGUAGCUGGUCUGAGAGGACGACCAGCCACCCGGGGACUGAGACACGGCCAAGAGUCCUACGGGAGGCAGCAGUGGGGAAUUUUGGACAAUGGGCGAAAGCAUGAUCCAGCAAUGCCGCGUGUGUGAUGAAGGCCUUCGGGUUGUAAAGCACUUUUGGCGGGAAAGAAAAGGACUGUGCCAAUACCACGGUUCGAUGACGGUACCCGCAGAAUAAGCACCGGCUAACUACGUG